rnacentral:rRNA from 1 species
AAUCAACGCUGGCGGCGUGCCUCAGACAUGCAAGUCGAACGAUUAAAGCUCCCUUCGGGGAGUGCAUAAAGUGGCGCACGGGUGAGUAACACGUAAGUAAUCUACCCUCGGGUGGGGAAUAACAUCGGGAAACCGAUGCUAAUACCGCAUAAUGCAGCGGCACCGCAAGGUGACAGUUGUUAAAGAUUUAUUGCCUGGGGAGGAGCUUGCGGCAGAUUAGCUUGUUGGUAAGGUAACGGCUUACCAAGGCUACGAUCUGUAUCCGGUCUAAGAGGACGGUCGGACACACUGACACUGAAUAACGGGUCAGACUCCUACGGGAGGAAGCAGUCGGGAAUUUUGAGCAAUGGGGGAAACCCUGACCCAGCAACGCCGCGUGAAGGAUGAAGUAUUUCGGUAUGUAAACUUCGAAAGAAUAGGAAGAAUUAAUGACGGUACUAUUUAUAAGGUCCGGCUAACUACGUGCCAGCAGCCGCCGUAAUAC